rnacentral:rRNA from 1 species
AGCGAACGCUGGCGGCAGGCUUAACACAUGCAAGUCGAGCGGGCACUUUCGGGUGUCAGCGGCGGACGGGAGAGUAACGCGUGGGAACGUGCCCUCUGGUUCGGAAUAACUCAGGGAAACUUGAGCUAAUACCGGAUACGCCCUUUUGGGGAAAGGCUUGCUGCCGGAGGAUCGGCCCGCGUCUGAUUAGCUAGUUGGUGAGGUAACGGCUCACCAAGGCGACGAUCAGUAGCUGGUCUGAGAGGAUGAUCAGCCACACUGGGACUGAGACACGGCCCAGACUCCUACGGGAGGCAGCAGUGGGGAAUAUUGGACAAUGGGCGCAAGCCUGAUCCAGCCAUGCCGCGUGAGUGAUCAAGGCCUUAGGGUUGUAAAGCUCUUUUAUCCGGGACGAUAAUGACGGUACCGGAGGAAUAAGCCCCGGCUAACUUCGUG